AGAGCGAACGCUGGCGGCAGGCCUAAUACAUGCAAGUCGAACGGACCCUUCGGGGUUAGUGGCGGACGGGUGAGUAACACGUGGGAACGUGCCCUUUGGUUCGGAACAACUCAGGGAAACUUGAGCUAAUACCGAAUGUGCCCUUCGGGGGAAAGAUUUAUCGCCAUUGGAGCGGCCCGCGUCUGAUUAGCUAGUUGGUGAGGUAAAGGCUCACCAAGGCUACGAUCAGUAGCUGGUCUGAGAGGAUGAUCAGCCACACUGGGACUGAGACACGGCCCAGACUCCUACGGGAGGCAGCAGUGGGGAAUAUUGGACAAUGGGCGCAAGCCUGAUCCAGCCAUGCCGCGUGAGUGAUGAAGGCCCUAGGGUUGUAAAGCUCUUUUGUGCGGGAAGAUAAUGACGGUACGCAAGAUAAGCCCCGGCUAACUUCGUGCCAGCAGCCGC
rnacentral:rRNA from 1 species